GCGGCCUAUCAGCUUGUUGGUGAGGUAAUGGCUCACCAAGGCAACGACGGGUAGCCGGCCUGGGGAGGGCGACCGGCCACACUGGGACUGUGACACGGCCCAGAANCCUACGGGAGGCCCCAGUAGGGGAAUAUUGGGCAAUGGAGGAAACUCUGACCCAGCGACGCCGCGUGCGGGAUGAAGGCCUUCGGGUUGUAAACCGCUUUCAGUAGGGAAGAAGCGAAAGUGACGGUACCUACAAAAGAAGCACCGGCUAACUAUGUGCCAGCAGCCGCGGUAAUACAUAGGGCGCAAGCAUUGUCCGGAAUUAUUGGGCGUAAAGAGCUCGUAGGUCGUUUGUUACGUCGGAUGUGAAAACCUGAGGCUCAACCUCAGGCCUGCAUUCGAUACGGGCAAACUAGAGUUU
rnacentral:rRNA from 1 species